rnacentral:lncRNA from 1 species
GCGCAUUUCAGUAGCCACACGGAGGAGUGAGCUGAGCGUCAUUCGCGGAGAUGUGUGCUCCUAGGCUCCUAGAUCAGAAGCGGGUUGUGUGACAGAGUCUGAAAACAUGUAACACACGCUGUGUUUCCAACCAUGACCUACUAUCAAAUACUGCAUUCCUUCAGAAGAGGAAGAUGCCUGACACUCUACACUUUAGAAUGUUAUCCCUGAGUGGCUCUUUACCACAGCUGAGAUUCCUUUUCUUUCAGCUCCAGGCUGCCUCCCAGGCUUGAACCUGGACAUGAGAGCCGCAGGCCGGCCCCAACAAUUUGGCAAACCAACUCGGGACCUGGGAAUAGCAGAGGACGAUGGAAGAAACACUG